CCUACGGGAGGCAGCAGUGGGGAAUAUUGCACAAUGGGCGAAAGCCUGAUGCAGCAACGCCGCGUGAAGGAAUAAUGCCUUCGUGUCGUAAACUUCUUUCCUUGGGGAAUAAUAACUGACUGUACCCAAGGAGGAAGCCCCGGCUAACUACGUGCCAGCAGCCGCGGUAAUACGUAGGGGGCAAGCGUUAUCCGGAAUUAUUGGUCUGAAAUAGUACUUAUGUGUCAACCUAAGCGCAGUGUUUAAGGCAAUGUCUCAACCAUUGUUCGCCCUGCGAACUGGGAUGCUUGAGUGCAGGAGAGGAA
rnacentral:rRNA from 1 species